UGCAAUAGGACACCGUGACGGAAACCAGAGUGCACGGAAACGCCGUUUACCUUCCUGUCGUGGUGGUAUCUAUUUAUCUACUUGCACUGGUGUGCUUUCGAACUGCUAGGUUGGCAGACGCUGGGACAGAGCAACGGGAGCUCACUCUGUCACGAGGAUUCGAACUGCCGACCUUCUGAUCGGCAAGCCCAAGAGGCUCAGUGGUUUAGACCACAGCUCAACACCCAUCCCACGUGGCCAGAGGCAGCAGCAGGAAUGUCUGAUCAUGGAGGGGGCAGGAAAAAAAACCCACGCACAAACACAUAUAUGCAAAAAAAGCAGCUUUAGGAAAAAUGCUAUCUUGGGCUUGAAGGAACCCCCACAAGCCGGGAGCCCUGUCUAAGCAAACAGCUCUAUCUCUUCCGUGGGAGGACAAACCAGGCUGAGGGAGAAGGAGUUGAGGCGCAUAGAUGUCAAGGGAGACACAUACUUUGCUCCAGGCCUGAGUCACACUUUCGUGCGACAGCAACCACAAAGAACGCGAGGAGGCGAUAAGGCGAGUUUGCAACUGAAUUGGGGGGGGGGGGGACACCAGCGGUUAAAAAUAAAAUGGUGUGACAAUCCUGCGCCUGCUCGUUCCAUAAGAGGUAACAGGAAAGGGAGCAGACCUCAAGUUGGGCAGAGAGAGACAGAAGUUUCCUCCUCGUUUAUGGCGGUCUUGUUGACACGCAGAGGGUUGUUGCCUCCAGCUAAGGUCUCGUCCGUGCUGUCGUUUAAUGAAGAUAGAGAACUUCCUGUGACUUGCCUUUGCUCUAUUGUCUGGAUUUUCUCAUACCAAGGCUACUCUGAAAAGGGAGAGGCCUAGGUAGGAAGAAACCCAAACUGAAGGAGGGGAGAGUGCGGACAGCAGAAUGAACGGAGGUACUGAAAGCUUGCUCUCCACAAGGCUAGACACACACACACACACACACACACACACACACAUGCGUCUACGCAGGCUCAGGCUUUAGGCUUCAGACUCGCCAAAGCCCGAGUUCAGGGUCUAGCUCAGUCGGCAGAGCAUGAGACUCUUAAUCUUAGGGUUGUGGGUUCGAGUCCCAUGUUGGGCAAAAGAUUUCUGCAUUGCAGGGGGUUGCACUAGAUGACCCUCAGGGUCCCUUGCAAGCAUGGGAGCCAACUCCCAGGGGCCGUAGGUGUUAUGUACUGAAGUUCUCACCCUGGGCCAGCAGGGGGAUACUGUAGCUAGUUAUGCAAAUAAGGGAUCGAAAGUGACGUUCAGUGAUUGGAUAGUUUUAGAAAGUUGAUACAGUUACGUUGUACUGGAGCUCUAUAUAAGCAGGCUGACUGAACCCUUCAGUUCAGUUCUGUCCUGGCCUGUGAAUAAACAAGUGCUGUUUGAAGAA
rnacentral:tRNA from 1 species